rnacentral:rRNA from 1 species
UAUGUGAUCGUCUCUCGCAUAUCAAUAAGCGGAGGAAAAGAAACUAACAAGGAUUCCCUUAGUAACGGCGAGUGAAGCGGGAAGAGCUCAAAUUUGAAAUCUUCAAGGUUUUACCUUGACGAAUUGUAGUUUAAAGAAGUGUUUUCUGUUGAAGUUUUGGUAAAAGUUCUUUGGAAUAGGACAUCAUAGAGGGUGAGAAUCCCGUAUUUGACCAUUAUUUUCAGCUGUGUGAUACACUUUCAAAGAGUCGGAUUGUUUGGGAAUGCAGUCCAAAAUGGGUGGUAAAUUUCGUCUAAAGCUAAAUAUUGGCGAGAGACCGAUAGCGAACAAGUACCCGUGAGGGAAAGAUGAAAAGAACUUUGAAAAGAGAGUUAAACAGUACGUGAAAUUGUCAAAAGGGAAGCGUUUGACACCAGUGUUGUUUUCUCGAAAAUCAAUUAAAAAGAGUUUGAUUUUGUUGUGUAUUGACCUUAACAGCUUGCAUUUCAAUUUUCUUGCUUUUUUUAAUGCACUUUUCGUUUAACAAGUCAACAUCAGUUUCUUUUGUUGUAAAAAGGUCAUUGGUAGGUGGCUUUCUUUUCGGAGAAAGUGUUUAUAGCCUUUGACUCCUGCAAUCGGAGAGACUGAGGUCUGCAGCGUAGAUCCUUCGGGGUUAGAUACAUUUGUGCUAAGUUGUAGCUUUUUAUAGACAACUUGUUGACUAUGAUUAGUCUUGUAGCUUACUCGCUUAUGCUAUUUUACCUACGCUUAGGAUGUUGAAGAUGUAGCACAUCAU